rnacentral:lncRNA from 1 species
AAAAUUUGAUUUGUAUGAAAGACCUCAAGUUAAAAGGUUUGAAGACCCAUGAUUGUCAUAUUCUAAUGGAGCAUUUGCUACCAAUAGGUAUACGUUCCAUUUUACCUGAAAAAGUUCGACUAGCCUUAACUAGAUUAUGUUUCUUCUUUAGGGAAAUUUGUAGUAAAGUGAUCGACCCUCAGAAAUUACCGACAUUGCAG